rnacentral:rRNA from 1 species
CGGCGCAGGGAGAGUAACGCGUGGAUACCUGCCCUCGGCUCCAGAAUAGCUACGGGAAACUGUAGGUAAUGCUGGAUAAUAUCUCCGGAUCAAGGUGUGAUUCCGGCCGAGGAUGAGUCCGCGUCCUAUUAGAUUGUUGGUGGGGUAAUGGCCUACCAAGUCGAAGAUGGGUACCGGGUGUGAGAGCAUGGCCCGGCUCACUGGGACUGAGACACUGCCCAGACGUCUACGGACGGCUGCAGUCGAGAAUCUUCCGCAAUGGGCGCAAGCCUGACGGAGCGACGCCGCGUGCGGGAUGAAGGCCUUCGGGUUGUAAACCGCUGUCAGUUGGGAGGAAAUGCUAUGGGGUUCUCUCCAUAGUUUGACCGAUCUUCAGAGGAAGUACGGGCUAAGUACGUGCCAGCAGCCGCGGUAACACGUACCGUACGAACGUUAUUCGGAAUCACUGGGCUUAAAGAGUCCGUAGGCGGCUAUGUAGGUCAGGUGUGAAAUCCCACGGCUCAACCGUGGAACUGCGCUUGAAACCAUAUGGCUAGAGGGAGAUAGAGGAAAGCGGAACUGAUGGUGGAGCGGUGAAAUGCGUUGAUACCAUCAGGAACACCGGUGGCGAAAGCGGCUUUCUGGGUCUCUUCUGACGCUGAGGGACGAAAGCUAGGGGAGCGAACGGGAUUAGAUACCCCGGUAGUCCUAGCUGUAAA